rnacentral:rRNA from 1 species
UCGGAGACGGUGCUUGUGCGGGCGGUGAUGCGACACGCGUAUUCGAAGGACUCUCGGCAACGGAUAUCUCGGCUCUUGCAUCGAUNNNNNNNNNNAGCGAAAUGCGAUACUUGGUGUGAAUUGCAGAAUCCCGUGAACCAUCGAGUCUUUGAACGCAAGUUGCGCCCGAAGCCAUUAGGCUGAGGGCACGGCUGCCUGGGUGUCGCCCAUCGUUGCCCCAGUGCCUUGGCCUCAUGCUAGGGACCGAGCUGGGCGAAUGCUGGCUUCCCGUGAUCAAAGCCUCACGGUUGGUUGAAAAUUGAGUCCAUGGUGGGUGGCACUGUGGCGUAUGGUGGUUGAG